AGGACGGCACUCUGCACACGGUGGGCUCUCAGGACCGCACUCUGCACAACGUGGGCGCUCGGGACAGCGUGCUGCACGCCGCGCGCGCCCAGGACGGCGCUGUGCUUACGAGUCCCUGUCCCACCCAGGGAGCUUACUCUAUUUCACAGAGGAGAAGGACCAAGACCAGAGAGGCCGACGACACCAGGACUCUGGGAGGAACUGUGUGCCGAUUUCUGUCCCGGACCUGUCUUCGUGGUUAGGAACGAUCCAUCCAACACCCUUGACCCUCCCUUUUCCAUCCCCGACUCUCCCCCGGUGACCAAGCGCGGACCAUCCACCAUCCCCGACUCUCAGGGUCCUCUCCGUCCCUGACUUUCCUGCAGUGGAGCCCAGACAAUCUGACCGCUCUGGUUCUCCCCUCUCCUUCCCAACUCUUUUCUAGUGACCUAGCAAGGAUCGAAGGGCGAAGACGCUCUCCUCCCCCGUGCCCUGCCCCGC